GGUGCCUGGUUGAUGCCAAGCUCACAGGCUCCAGAUCUCACUUCAUGCCUCGAACUCAAGGUGACAAAUUGCAGCUUCAGCUAGAGGCUUUCAGGUUCCAGCAACCAGACAGUGGACUGGUUUACAUCACAUGCAUGGUGAAGGUGGCCGUAAGCAACAACGACUCCAAAUCCUGAACAGAAAGCUUGUUCCUUCUCUGCUAAUGGUUGGGUGUCUGCAGAUGGUUCUGACCAGGUGUGUGGCUGCUGUGACUCCACGUGUAGUACCAGAAGAGGAAGUGACCAGCCCCAUAAAGAUCUGCGUUGGGAUAAAUCCUCUGUUGGGCCCAUCAGUGUUAAGGAAUCUGGCCAUGGCCAAAAAUAACUGGAAGUGCUGUGACUUUAUUAAAGUGAUCUUAAUGGGU